CUCCAAACCAGAUCCCGGGUCACUACAUUUCAUAGCUAGUGGCAACCAGGACCACACUGACUUCAGUGAGGGCACAGGAGAGCCUGUCAGUAGACUGUUCUUUGCCUGUCCAAGAGAUUGAAACUCUGCCUGAUCCCAGUGUUGUGGAUGAGUUCUGUAGAUGCCAACCCCGGAUUCGGCAUGAUGAUCUGGGAUAUGUUGAGACAAAGACAACAAGAAGACCCGGCUUAAUUUGGACGCAUGAGUCUUCUAUUGGAUGCCAUGGCCAUCAAGAAACAUGUCCAAUAUGAUCCACACACCCAGAAAAUGUCUGGCUUUGUGGAUAUAGGGGAAGGAGUGAAUGAAACAGAUGUGGCCACAGAGGCUCUUGUUUUUAUGGUGGUUGGCCUACAAAGCCAUUGGAAGGCUCCAAUUGCAUACUAUGUGAUCAACUCCCUGUUGCCAGAAACACAGAAGGUGCUACUUGUCCAUGCAUUGGAUUUACUGUAUGAGCAGGGGAUAACAUUGGUGUCUGUUACAAUAGAUGGGCAUGCCUCCAAUGUCAGCAUGUGUAACCAGCUUGGAUGCCAGCUAGUGGUCAA